rnacentral:rRNA from 1 species
UACGUAGGUGGCAAGCGUUGUCCGGAUUUAUUGGGUUUAAAGGGUGCGUAGGCGGCUUGAUAAGUCAGUGGUGAAAGCCGAUCGCUUAACGAUCGAACUGCCAUUGAUACUACCAGGCUUGAGUAUAGAUGAGGUAGGCGGAAUUGACAGUGUAGCGGUGAAAUGCAUAGAUAUUGUCAAGAACACCAAUUGCGAAGGCAGCUUACUAAGUUAUAACUGACGCUGAGGCACGAAAGUGCGGGAUCAAACAGG